rnacentral:rRNA from 1 species
CCUACGGGAGGCAGCAGUGGGGAAUUUUGGACAAUGGGCGAAAGCCUGAUCCAGCCAUUCCGCGUGCAGGAUGAAGGCCCUCGGGUUGUAAACUGCUUUUGUACAGAACGAAAAAGGUUUCUACUAAUACUAGGAGCUCAUGACGGUACUGUAAGAAUAAGCACCGGCUAACUACGUGCCAGCAGCCGCGGUAAUACGUAGGGUGCAAGCGUUAAUCGGAAUUACUGGGCGUAAAGCGUGCGCAGGCGGUUAUAUAAGUCAGAUGUGAAAUCCCCGGGCUCAACCUGGGAACUGCAUUUGAGACUGUAUAGCUAGAGUACGGUAGAGGGGGAUGGAAUUCCGCGUGUAGCAGUGAAAUGCGUAGAUAUGCGGAGGAACACCGGAUGGCGAAGGCAAUCCCCUGGACCUGUACUGACGCUCAUGCACGAAAGCGUGGGGAGCAAACAGGAUUAGAUACCCUGGUAGUCCACGCCCUAAACGAUGUCAACUGGUUGUUGGGUCUUAACUGACUCAGUAACGAAGCUAACGCGUGAAGUUGACCGCCUGGGGAGUACGGCCGCAAGGUUGAAACUCGAAAAUGAAAUUGACCGGNNGAGAGAGCGACGACGACGACGAGGGAGGAGG